AGAGUUUGAUCAUGGCUCAGAACGAACGCUGGCGGCAGGCCUAACACAUGCAAGUCGAACGAGAAGCCACCUUCGGGUGGUGGACAGUGGCAGACGGGUGAGUAACGCGUGGGAACGUGCCUUUCGGUUCGGGAUAACCCAGGGAAACUUGGGCUAAUACCGGAUACGCCCUUCGGGGGAAAGAUUCAUCGCCGAAAGAUCGGCCCGCGUCGGAUUAGCUAGUUGGUGGGGUAAAAGCCUACCAAGGCGACGAUCCGUAGCUGGUCUGAGAGGAUGAUCAGCCACACUGGGACUGAGACACGGCCCAGACUCCUACGGGAGGCAGCAGUGGGGAAUAUUGGACAAUGGGCGAAAGCCUGAUCCAGCCAUGCCGCGUGGGUGAAGAAGGCCUUAGGGUUGUAAACCCCUUUCAGCGGGGAAGAUAAUGACGGUACCCGCAGAAGAA
rnacentral:rRNA from 1 species